AAUUAGGUUUUUUUAAAAACUACCAAUUAAGUCUAUCAACUUACA
rfam:Chlorocebus sabaeus isolate 1994-021 chromosome 21, whole genome shotgun sequence.